CCGCGCGCCGGUGGCGGUUUUUCCCGCGGCGGCGACCGUUGCUCCAGGCGACUGUUCGAGGGUGGAGGUGUUUGUGCGUCGGCGGCUCCCUGGGACUCAGAGUCGGCCGUCUCCCUUUUACGGCGGCUCGUGUUGUGGUUUCGAGUGUGGUUUCCCUUGGGCUGUGCUCUUUGGCGUGCCUCUCCGCUCGGCCCGGGUUAACGUACGCGACUCUGACUCUCCUCAGCCGGCAACCGAGGCCGCGACGCCAGAAUGGCGGACGUCUGCGAUCUACGUCGAGGGCGGGAUUCGCGUCUCAACUGCGCUCGGCCGCAUCCUUUCCUCGUCGGCCUUUCCAGCGCCUCGACCUGCUGUGGAAGUGAACGAAGACGCCUGGAAAGGGUCUAGACCCCGCUAAAGCGAGGGAGUCCGCCACCAUCCUGGGCCUUUGGCGGAGGCUCGAAGGCAGGCACGGAAAGCUUUUCAGCGACAAGCAGGAGAGGCCUCGGGUGCGCCUUGGAUGCACUUUGGCGAGUGUGGAAGUUGGAGACGGGCUAACUAAGCGGGUCAUCCUGUCUGGGAUGGCUUAGGGAGUAUAUUUGGCUUUCUCCGGUUGGCCCGAAGUGGGCCAGGGACAAAAAAAUAGCCAGAGCAAGAGAACGUGUAUACAUGCCAGAGAGGGACAGAGAGAGAUGGAGAGAGAAUCCCAAGCAGGAGCCGCACUACCAGCACAGAGCCCAACUCGGGGCUUGAACCCAUGAACCGCGAAAUCAGGACCUGAGCCGAGGUCGAGAGUUGGACCCUCAACUGACCGCGCCACUGAGGCACCCUGGUGGUCUCCCUGGUUGUCCUUUGGUCUUGAGAACGUCAUCACUCAGUGCUGCUUUUCAUAUUCAGUUCCAAAUGCCAACCACGCCCGUUCGUGUUACAUUGCAGGAUCAGGCUGAAAAGGCCAUGUGUCUUCAACCGGCUCAGCUUGAGGGCUAUGAGGUACCGUCACGCGACCUGGGGAGACUACGGAAAGAAGUGAAGUAGCAAAGAGGGGAACACCGAGCUUGGCAGUCAGGGAUGGGGCAAGAACAGGGAGCACUCUCCCAGCUCUCUGACUCCUCAUAUGCCUUCAAGGUGGGCGGUGAUGAUAAAACGAUGUGAUCGGCCAUAAAAUUAUCAAGAG